AGCUAUGACAGCAACAGCCUUUUAAGCUGGAGAUAGGUGACUCCCCCCACCCUUAUCGA
rnacentral:tRNA from 1 species